UCAGCAUCAUCGGCAACAUCAACACGAA
rnacentral:piRNA from 1 species